GGCAUAUUGGUCAAUGGAUGGAAGUCUGAACCAGCCAUGCCGCGUGCAGGAAGAAGGCCUUCUGGGUUGUAAACUGCUUUUGCCAGGGGAUAAAAAUCCCAUGCGUGGAAGAUUGAAGGUACCUGGUGAAUAAGCCACAGCUAACUACGUGCCAGCAGCCGCGGUAAUACGUACGUUGCAAGCGUUGUCCGGAUUGAUUGGGUUUAAAGGGUGCGUAGGGGGCUUUGUAAGUCAGUGGUGAAAUAUCGCAGCUUAACUGUGAGGGUGCCAUUGAUACUGCAGAGCUUGAGUACAGAUGAGGUAGGCGGAAUUGACGGUGUAGCGGUGAAAUGCUUAGAUAUCGUCAAGAACACCUAUAGCGAAGGCAGCUUACUAGGCUGUAACUGACGCUGAGGCACGAAAGUGUGGGGAUCAAA
rnacentral:rRNA from 1 species